UGGGAGCUGGGGACAGGGGCCCUCAGUGCCUGCCCCGGGACAGAGCCUCCCUGCUGCCCCUCUGAGGGAGCCUCGCGAUGGGUGGGGAUUGCUGGGGGAGCUGGGACAGCACUCGUGGGGAGAGGGAGUCUGGCUGUCCCUCAGUGGGGCUGGGACAGGAGGGAGUCUGGCUGUCCCUCAGUGGGGCUGGGACAGCACCUGUGGGGAGAGGGAGCCUGGCUGUCCCUCAGUGGGGCUGUGACGGGAGGGAGCCUGGCUGUCCCUCCAUGGUGGGCACAAGGUGCCCUGAGGCGGCGGCAGCCAUCUUGUGGUGGUGGACGCUGGCAACAGAGUUGUCCAGCUGCAGUAGCCACAGGCAAGCAGGACACACUAGGUAAGCCUUUUUUCUCUUUUUUUAUCCUCAUUUUACGGGAGUUUCGUUGGUACGUGUCCCUGCCUGCACCUGCAAGCACCAUUUCUCAUCUCCACAGCCCCUCUGCUCCUGCCUUCUACCGUGUGGGAGAUGCUGGCUGGGAUGGCUCUUGGAGGCAAGAUGGCCCAAGCCAGGGAAAACUGGAAUGUUGUGGAUACUGUGGUGAUUGUUCCUUCAGAGAACAAACAUUUCAAUCUAUAGGCACAAAUGGUAGAAGGCCAUGCUGUCCAGCAGGGAGAAGCUGCAAUAUGAAACAGAGAUAA
rnacentral:lncRNA from 1 species